UACGUAGGGUGCAAGCGUUGUCCGGAAUUAUUGGGCGUAAAGAGCUCGUAGGCGGCUUGUCGCGUCGGCUGUGAAAACCUAGGGCUCAACCCUGGGCCUGCAGCCGAUACGGGCAAGCUAGAAUUCGGUAGGGGAGACUGGAAUUCCUGGUGUAGCGGUGAAAUGCGCAGAUAUCAGGAGGAACACCGGUGGCGAAGGCGGUUCUCUGGGCCUUACCUGACGCUGAGGAGCGAAAGCGUGGGGAGCGAACAGG
rnacentral:rRNA from 1 species